CGAGCACGCGCCUCUCGCCGGCCGGACGUGGUGGAAGAAGGACGGGAUACGAUCCCUCGUACUGUUCUUGUGUGUCUUUCUCUAACUUAAGUGGAAAUCGCGUGUGUUUCUGUUCAACAAACGUCGGGAAGCUUCGUAGCUAUACACGCAAUACACGCAAUACGUACGCAAUAGUGUAACGCGUAAAAAAAGAUGGACGGUGCACGCAACCUGUUUCUAUCUUCGCGUCGUUUGUGCGGUUUUAAAGUGUUUUGCGUUCGAACUUGCAUGUGCGUAUCAUUUUUUCUGAAACGGGACACCUUAUACCACAAUAUCUAUUGCUACCCUCAUCCUACAACGUGAAAUCUUAUUCCUAACAGGACAAUCAUCCCGGAUUACGAACGGAAAGCGCGACGAAUCCCUCUUUCAAGCUGCACCGUAUGGUACAACCUGAGCGACAUUUAACCGGAAACUUGAUAUCGGUGGACAUUCACCGCCGUGAGCUCUUUCAAUUGAUCGUGGCCUACACGACAAUGAGGAUCAACUACGUCGAACAGCAUGGAACAGCAACGAGACGGCGAUGCUGCUUCGGACGAACAGAUCGAUUCUCCAUCACGGAGGAGAAGGAUGAAGAACGACGAGGGAGGGGUUCCACGGAGAAAAAUCGAGGAAGAAUCGGAUAAAGGGACAACUCUAUGGAAAAUAGAUAAGUUGGAGGGCUGCGGAAACUGGAAGAAGAAGAGGAAGAAGAAGAAGAAGGUGGAUGCUCGCAAAGGGAAAAGACGAUGGGACGUAACGGGGUGGAGGAAGAAAAGCAGGGAAAGUUUCGGCGGUGUAUCUCGCCACGUCGUCGAGCUACUCUUCGGGUGAAUGGAGGAGGAGUGGAACGAGUACGAGACUCGACACGUCAGCCGCGCCUUCACUUAACGGAAUGGAAUUUGUCAACGGUUCCAUGGGACGUCGAAUAAAAUUCAAAUGGGCAGGGGUGGGUCAGUGAAUAUAUCGACCUACCUAAUCUUUCUUUAUUCAACUUGGAAUGUUUUACGUUGAAUCUCGUUUUCGCUUGAUUUCGAUCGAUUCGUCGUUGCGAAGAAAGAAGAAAGAAGAAAACUUGAUUUUCGUGACGAGAACGUGCCAUCCGCCGAUAAUUCAACGGUUAACAACGGUUGAUUAUGAAAGAGCUUUUUCUCAUCAAGGAAGAAGAAAACGUUAAUAUGGAAAUCUUACGAAUUUUCACGAAGUUUCCCUUUAAGCUGAAAAAUCAUUUUUCAAGUGAAUAUUAUUUUUUAUAAUUAAAUAGCCGUCUACGGGCCAGAUUAAAGGCUUUCUUCUUUGUGAGAUAAUCACUUUGAAAAGGUACGCGAAGCUUUACCAGUUAUCUAGAGGCUUCUACCGUCGGUUUUUCCGGGAACAGAAAUUUUAAUUAGUAGGUAGACGUCUUUAUAUCCAAGCAAUCACCCGAACUAUUAAUUUUCCUCUUUUAAACGUUUCAUCUUUCGUUUUCGACAAACAAACCGGUCUUUCGACUCCUCCCUCUCUCAUUUCAUCCCAUUAAGUCAGUUCAAUAUAAUUCAAAUAACAAUCCAGUUCAUCUUUCAUGCACGUAUAUUUAAUAUUUUUAAAACGAAUCGAGAAAAAUACACAAAGCUCUUCAACUUGGUUCAACUUUUCCUAUUAGAAUAACCGUCGAAACUUAUCAAAAAUUUUCGAAUAAUUUAUUAAUUCGAAAUCUAAUAUCUCUUCCUCAGGCUCAAAAUUUGGAUAGUCUGAAAAAAAUUGAAAAUCAUAAGAUGAUACGUACCAUCAUUACUCGACCUCUGAUGCGAUUAAUCUCUGUUCGAGGCAAAAUGAAAAAUAGAGAAGAGAGAAUGCAGAAUAUCGAUGCAACAAUAUUAUAUUUUCGGAUCAUUUUUCGACUUCGCCUCCCUGUUCAUCGCUUUUCUCCUAACACGGUAAACUACUUUCGACUUUUUUUACCCGGGUCUGAAAGAAGAAGAAGAAGAAGAAGAAGAAGAAGCAGUUGAGAGAGGGUGGUCGGGAGCGGGUCCAGGAAGCUGCAUUCAAACCAAGGGAUAUAUAUCCCCGGCUCUUUGGCAUCGAGAAAACUAACGAGAAGGCAUUCCAGGACUUGGCUUAAGGAAGUUUAUUUUCUUAAUACCGAGGGCCGUGCAUCAGUCUUCCUGUUAGAGUCGCAAGUCGCUAUUCAGAAGCUUCAUUAGGAGAAGCACGCAUUCAGAUUGCUUGGUGAACUCGCGUGACCCCUGGCCAUUCCAAAGGUUUUAAGAGUAUCGGUGUCUUUUUUAGAAUUUCCUCUCCCUCUAUUUCUCUUUCUACUUUUUUUUUUCCUUUCGUUUCCCUCUUCUUACUCUUCUUCAACCGUUUCUUCCACCCCGUUCCUCUUUCGUACUCCGAGACCACUUUUUCAAUUUUAUUAUUAAGCGGAUGAAAGACGCGUUGUAAAAUUUACUCUGUCUGGAAAAUUUGUUUCUAUAACUUAAGAAAUUAUUAUAAACGGUAUCAAAAUCCUCUUUUUCGUCGAACAACCUUCGAAAAGUUCCGGAAAUAAAUCGAAGGUAGUCCAAUUAUUUUCUUUAUCCCUUUUAUUAUCUUAUCAAAUAAUUAAUUGACUCGUCGAUAACUUGUGCAAACGCUUACACCGUUAUGAGAAAGAAUAUUUCUUCUUCGACGCAAAGAUUUUCAUCCAUUCCCGUUUCAAAAAUCAAACGAAAGAACACGAGAGAUGCGUAGAUUACGCGAUAACGAGCGUUGUUCCAUCCGCUGCUAUGAAAAAACGCGGAAAACACUUAAUCCUACAAAGCGAUCGGAAUUUUUCCACGGAACGAAACGAACGAGAGGAGAGGCGUACAUAACGGCCGUCAACGUGGAAGGCGAGGCGCCGGUCAAAGCGACAUCCGCCCCAUUUAACGCUCACCUUAUUGACCUUAUGCUUAAUAUUAACGAGGCGACGCGGUCAUCCGGCUGGGCACAACACACGUGCACCUACGUGUACACGGGGUAUACAGAGAAACGUAACUAGCCUGAAGGCCGUUAACCUCCUCAUUUGCACCGCUUUGAUCCAAUCCUAUUUUCCACCCUUGCCGGCGCCUCCCCUCGCCCGAUCGAUCCUACAAAUUCUCCCUCUCCCUUCCCCCCCGCGGAUUUCGCGCUAACUAAUGUCCUCCCUCCCCCUCCCCCUCCCUCGCGCGAUAUAAAACGGAUCGGCUGAACAGGAUUGAUUUGCAUAAAUAAUUGCGCACAUAUCAUCAAGACACGAUCGAAACCGGCUAAUUAGUAGACCGUUCCGCGGGAACAUGGCCGCGUCAAGGUGAUUACCGAGGAAUACGUAUGCGAGAGUAUCGAUAGAGGAUUCCUCUCUCUCUCUCUCUCUCCACACGUGGAAAUGAAAUUAUAGGUACAGGACAUAGAGUUCAGUUGCGGCGGAGAUAUGCUCGAUACCUCUCACUCCGACUUUUCCUCCCGGUUUAUUAAUUAUGGAAAAUCGAAGGUGUACGUGAUUUCAACCUCGCGCGCGACACAAUAGCGGAAAAUAUAUACGUUGGAUGGGAAGAAGUCUCGAAGUUUUCUGUUUUUUAUUCUGUUUUGGAUUUAGUCCGAUAUAAUCGUAGUAAACGAUCUUUGUUAAGAGAAGGAUUAAUGAAUUUUUCGUGGAAAAAUUAUAACAGAAGAAGAAAGAAAUUAGAAUCGAAACGGAUUAUACAAAAAAUUUUUAUCUUCCCGCGUGAACCAGAUCCGCCCUCCUCUACGUCAAACUAAAAGGACGAAGGGCAAUGAACAAUGUUUCCGAUCAACCACGUUCCACGUACUAACCCCUAUAACGAGAUUACCCCCAGCCCCAACUUAAAUCUCGAUUCCAAACGAAAGUUGCAAGUUUUGCCAGUUUUCAAAUUCCUCGAUAGGAAAGACCAUCGAAAACGAUUAACGAUUCCUCGCAUUCUUUCGCGAUUCUCCCUCCUCCCCUUUCUCUCCCCCACUUUUUCUUCGAUAAUAAUCUCACGAGGUGGAAAUAAAACGCGAGCGGAAAAGAAACGAGAUGAAAAGAGGGGAAAAGAGAGAGAAGAAAAGAGAGGACAGCGUUUCAUUACGCGCGGAGACCGACAAUGCGAACUGGAAGGCGCAAAUUACCCCCGAUUCGUUUUAACGAUCGUCAACCGGACGAAUGGAGAAUGCUAUGUUACACUUGGCGAUCGUUAAAACUUAACGAAACCUUCUUUCGACCCAGCUGUGAAACGGGCCAGUGUGAUGGGGGAGAAGAGAAGAUAUAAUUGCAUUCUCUUGAGUCAUCGGAUCGGAUAACCAUUCGUAUCUGAUGAAUUUCAUGAGAGAGAUUCGAUUAAUAAUUGAUUAUCGAUUACGGAACGCAAGAAAAAUUGAAAAGAUAGAUCUUACAAAGUUUUCGUUGAUUCUCGAUCUUGGAAUUAAUUUUUGGAGAUAAAAUAAGAGAGGGAAAGGAAGGGUAUUGUGCAGUCUUCUCUCGUUCUUUUCGUCCUCCCCUUUUUUCCUUAGCGCGUUUCCACGACACGAACAAGGUAUUAUCCGUUCGCUUUUCCCUUCAAUGAAAUAAACAUGAGAUGGUCCUGAGUUGUUCGCCGUUAAAUUGGCUCGCUUCGCUUUUCGUAACUUUCAUACGAACUAAAUAGACGUUCGUAUGUUUGUCUAAUUGCCAAUCGAAUAGGAGAAAGUAAAUUAGGAAAGUGGAUAAAUGGGGGAGGGAAACCGGAGCGACUUCUUGGCUUCAAAGGUUCAAGGCUCUCGAUUCAAAAGUUUUUCCCUGCACGUGCAAGCUUUUUUCGUCUCCCCCUGCCAACCUAAGUUCUCGUUCGUGUUUAACAACGAGGGAGGAGGGAGCCAAGGAGAACACUGUUUCAUAAAGUAGUUGAAAUACACCGAUUUACUCGUAUCCAGGGAGCAGCUACCUAAUGAAAGAAGGAAAAGGACGCAGCCCCCCGAAACGUUGCAAACUCCGUUCCAUUUUCAUUUCGGUAGUCGCACAGCGUUCCGGACAAUUAAGGGAGCGGCAUGGAUGUAAAGUUUCCGCGACUGUAAAUUGAAUACAUCAGCUGGGUACUCUGGCGCAGUUGGAAGUCGAAACUUUGAAGGAGGCGGCGCAACCGUGAUACCACACCGUUGUUCCGUCAUUACGAAACGAGCGCCUGGAAUAUGCAAUAAAUUGGACAUAGUUUAGAUGCGAGUUGGAAAAUAAUCGUGGCGAAUCGUGUUCAACGCCGGAUUGUGUUCCAGCGACCGGAUUCGAGGGAAGGAAGACGUACGAUGAGAAAGAAAGAGAGAAAGAGAGAGAGAGUCACUACAACGAAUCCCGUUGGAAUUAAGAGUUUGGAGAAGAGUCGAUGCAUGAAAGAGACAUGGAAAGAUUUUUAUUCCUCGGCUCGGUAAGCUCGGAGGAGAAUUGAGGCGGCGGCGUUGCGCGUGAAAGAGGAUGUGACGAGAGUGGAGGAGGAUCUUUUUUUUUUUUUUUUUUUUUUUCAAAUUAAAACUUGGCUUUGGUUUGGUCCGUUUAUUCGUAUACGCACGGUAAGAUUAAUCAUAGCCGCGAACAGAUCUCGUAUCUUUAUUAAUGAUACGAGUUGUUGUUUUCAACUCGUAUGCAACUUGAUAUUAACGAUAUUUUUCAUCCUUCUUUUGAUCGAUGAAAAUAUUUCAAGAGGAAAAACAAAUUUUCAUCCUAUUGUAUGCACAACCAUAUUGAACGCGUAAAUUCGCGAUAAUUAAACUACGGAUAUUUAUGCAUUUAUGGAAAAAUGUAAAAAUGUAACGAUGCGCGAAAUGCAUACGAUUCGUGAAAAAUACACACAUCCGGUUGUAUGAAAUAAUUGUUAAUAUCUGAUGGAUGAAAUAAAUAUUUAAUUUAGGCUUUA